rnacentral:rRNA from 1 species
AUGGCCUGCGCAAGCUUCACCACUGCAGCCUCAUCAAGGGCGGCUACUGCUAUGGCCCCAUGGAUCCUGUCUCCAACAUCAUCCUCAACACCCUUUGGUAUGGCACUGCAUUCCCCACGCACCUUUUUUUGUGAGCAUAGUGGGAUAAACAUUGUGCAUCCAUAUUUUGGAACAUAUAAUGGACGCUGCGAUGAUUUCCAAGAGAUGGCUUCCGGAGGGCAAGAUGUCCUAAUUCAAACUAUCAUCAGUCGCUACGAGUUUCAAGUCGAUGGUAUGUUUACUCUGAAGGAGGACUGGAUCUAUUUUGAUCCCAACAUGGACGCAAAGAUUGCCCAGAUGAAUCCUAUUCCUGACUGGGCUAGGAAGGUGCGAGAAUGGGGCAGAAUCUUCUGA